rnacentral:lncRNA from 1 species
UCUAUGGCAGUGCAGAAAUUUUCCCAGUCAUUACAAGAUUUCCAAUUUGAAUGUAUUGAUAAUGCUGAAACAGAUGAUGAAAUUAGUAUUAGUCAGUCACUAAAAGAAUUUGCAAGACUACUCAUUGCAGCAGAAGAAGAAAGGUGAAGACUGAUCCAAAAGGCUAAUGAUGUAUUAAUUGCACCACUUGAGAAAUUUCAAAAAGAACAGAUAGGUGCAGUAAAAGAUGGAAAGAAGUUUGACAAAGAGUGAAAAAUAUUACUCUAUCCUUGAAAAGCAUUUAAAUUUAUCUGCAAAGAAAAAGGAGUCUCAUUUGCAAGAGGCAGAUACACAAAUUGAUCAAGCACAUCAGAACUUCUAUGAAGCAUCAUUAGAAUGUCUUUAAAUGGCUCACGCGGUUCAAGAAAAAAAGUUUGAAUUUGUUGAACCGCUUUUGUCAUUUCUUCAGGGUUUAUUUACUUUUUUACCACGAGGGAUAUGAACUUGCCCAGGAAUUUGCACCGCAUAAGCAACAGCUGCAGUUCAACUUGCAGAAUACAAGGAAUAAUUUUGAAAGUACUCGACAAGAGGUAGAGGGGUUGAUGCAGAGGAUGAAAUCUGCCAACCAGGACUACAGACCACCCAGCCAGUGGACGAUGGAAGGCUAUCCGUAUGUCCAGGAGAAACGACCGCUUGGUUUUACAUGGAUUAAACAGCCUUGUUACUAGCUCACCGGAAAUGUUCAAAAACUUGUAUCCGACGAAAGACAGAUUCAAUUGACAACCACUUCUGCUUCGACAUACAAGUAGUUGAAAGGCAUGGGAUCAUCACAUUACAGGCCUUCUCAGACGCUAAUAGGAAACUCUGGCUUGAAGCCAUGGAUGGGAAGGAAAUGAUUUAUACUCUGCCUGACAUUAUAAGCAAGAAAGAAGAAAGGUAUUUGAAUGAAGCAGGGUUCAAUUUUGUGAGAAACUGCAUUCAAGCUGUGGAAACAAGCGGUAUCACCGUUUUAGGCCUCUACUGAAUAGGAGGAGUGAACUCCAAAGUUCAAAAACUUGUGAAUAUCAUAUUUUCUCCUAAAUCCCCUCCUGAUAUUGAUAUUGAACUGUGGGACAAUAAGACAAUGAGUGGGCUGAAAAACUACCUCAGGUGCUUUGCAGCACCACUGAUGACUUACAAGUUACACAAAGAUUUGUAUCAUUGCUGUUAAAUCUGAUGACCAAAACUACAGGGUGGAGGCUGUACAUGCAUUGGUGUGCAAAUUGCCAGAGAAAAACAGAGAGAUGCUGGACAUCUUAAUAAAACAUCUGGUCAAAGUAUCACUGCACAGCCAACAAAAUCUCAUGACUGUCUCAAAUCUUGGUGUCAUAUUUCUCCCAACUCUAAUGAGAGCACAAGAAUAAACUGUAGCUGCUAUGGUGAAUAUUAAAUUUCAGAAUAUUGUGUUAGAAAUUCUUACAGAGCACGAUGAAACGAUUUUUCAUACUGCUCCAGACCCAAGCAUUCCUCUUCCUCAGCCUCAGUCUCGAUCUGGAUCCCAAAGGACACGAGCAAUCUGCCUCUCUACAGGCUCUAGGAAGCCCAGAGGGACGUGUACUCCAUACCUGGCUGAACCUGACAGUGACUCCUAUAGCAGCAGCCCAGACAGCACCCCCAUGGGGAGCAUCAAGUCACUCUCUUCUCUUUCCUCGGAACAAAAUAGCACUACAAAGUCAGCUUCCUGCCAGCCCAGGGAGAAAUCUGGAGGGAUUCCUUGGAUUGCAACCCUUUCAUCUUCCCAUGGACAGAAAAGCCUUGGUCUCUGGACAACCAGUCCUGAAUCAAGUUCUAGAGAAAGCCAAAGCCAUGUACUCCUGUAAAGCAGAGCACAGCAUGAGUUUUCCUUCCCACAAGGAGCGAUAUUUUCCAGCGUGGACCCAUCAGUGGAACCAGGAUGGUUAAAGGCAACUUAUGAAGGCAAAACGGGACUAGUUCCAGAAAAUUAUGUUGUCUUCCUC